CGAUCUUUUUCCCAUUGAGGACACCAGUCUGCGUCCAGCCGGGUAUUCCAUUAACAGUUCACCUAUGGCGUUGCUGUGGUUCUACCAAGGUUUGGUAUGAAUGGUGCGUAAGUUCUCCUGUCUCUACACCUGUACAAAACCCUAAUGGUCGGUCAUAUUGGGUGGGCCUUUAGGACUUCCCUUUUAAGGUCUUACAUGGAAGUGAGGCGGAUUUGAUAUAGCUGAUCUAGUGCAGAAGGAAAGCACUUGCCAGUUUAGUUUCUGCUUACGAUGAGAUGGAUGCCAAUGAUGACAGAGCCCCUCUGUAUUCCUAUUUGGCACAUGCUGGUGCAACCUCUUCAUCCAUUAACUCCUUUACAGUGGGAAAAAGAUCGACCUUCAUGAAAGCAACAGGAGAGAUUGUUGACUUCUGUUUGGAAGUCUGUUGGUGUUUUUUUUUUUUUCCGUCAGAAACAUGCUUACAUCUUGCGGGCAUUAGAGGGGAUAAGGUUAAUAACAUGGAAGAGAAUGUCCACCAGAGACUCAAUUUUGUGAGAACAUUUAUUAUACCUUGUUGAAUUCCAGAUUAUGGUUCAUGUACAAAUAACAGAAGUAAAUUGUAAACUCAGGUAUUGCCCAUUGGAAAUGCAUCGUUUAAGUCA